CAGGAUGGAUCUUCCGGAGGGCCCCGCACCUAUUUACACAUUCCUUCUGCUUCCAGGCCAGCGGAAGACUGCAUUGUGGGUAAUCCUGGCUGCCCCGAACCUUCACCUCCUUGCCUUGAUUAAACCACCUGCUUAAAGCCCUGGCUACAUCGGAGGCGCUGAGACCUCUGAAGAAGUCUGAAUCAGGGCAUGAGUUGGAGGAGCGAGCGGCCAUCCCCUCUGCCACUUCCCUCCAUCUUGUUUCCUACUGGAAUUAAAGGAGUUAAUUUACGAA